rnacentral:lncRNA from 1 species
CAGCGCGACAAGCAGAGGAAGAAGAGCCUGAAGAAGAAGAUGACGAAGAGGGACAGAGAAAGGGAAAGAGAGGCGGCGCUAAAGAGUACGACGAUGAUGGAGAUCUCACCAUUUGUCGUGUGAGUUUAGAUUCGAUUCAUCAUUUUAUAUUUUUCUUGGAGUAUUAGAAUUAAUUAAAUGAUUUUCUAAGUGUUUAUAAGUAAAAUGGUUUAGAUGUAUAGGUAUUCAAAUUUUCAUUGAGAGUUUUAGACCUUAUAUAUACUUCAAUAGUCUAUCCAAAUUGUCAUGUUCUUUGGGGCUGAAACUUAUUGGCCUUGUAAUUCAUGUUUAACUUAUUCCAUCUUCUCCUUUUUCUGAAAUUCAAAUUGUCAUUGGUGAAUGGAAUUUGUGAUUUACCGAUCUAGUGUUUUGUAUGACCUGGGUGCAAAAUCUUUGAAGUGAAGGCAAACUUUCCCCCUUGCAUUAGUGUACAUUUAUUCUCUUGGAAUUUAAGAUCCAUAUCAAGCAGUUAUCAACUUCAUACUCCUUCAUGCUAUUGGUUUUGCUGAAUGGUCCAUCUUGGAUCGAUAUCUGAUGUAAAUUUGCACUUGCACGGUCUGUAUGCUAUGA